UCUCUGGCGCUACGCUUAGCGUCGGUGGCGGAGAAAACGGUGUAGACGAGGACAAAGGUGCCGAUGAUCUCAGCACCAAGUCCUUGACCCUUGGUGUAACCAUGGGCAACAGAGUUGGCACCACCGCCCAGCAUCUCGAAAGUGGAGCUCUUCUCGAAGCCCUUCACGACGGCGGCACCGGCGAUAGCUCCGAGGGUCUGCAUAACUAUGUAGAACAACGCCCUGGUCAGCGACAGCUUCCUGGCCAAAAACAGCCCGAAAGUCACCGCCGGGUUUAUGUGACCACCUGAGGUAUAAACAAUAACCACCACCGUUAAUCAAGAAUUACUUAUAAUUAAGAACGGAUUAAUGACACGGCUGCGUUUUUUGGGGGGAAAUUAAUUACCGGAGAUGCCGGCGGUGCUGUAGACGAGGGCGAAGAUGGUCCCGCCAAAAGCCCAAGCGAUGCCCUGAAUCCCGACCGUCGUGCACUUCGACUUGGACUUGACGACGCCCAUCACCGUCAAGAUUGUGAUGUAGAGAAACAGGAAAGUGGCGAUGAACUCGGCGAUCCCGGCCCUGUAGAACGACCAUGACGUCAGCUCACCGGGCUCGAACAGUGGAGCCGGCGGUGGCUCUUUGUAGUCUUUCCCUUCAUCCUGGGUCUGAGCCGACGUCCCGAUCGGCUGCCUCUCCGAGAACUUGUUCGCUCCCAGCUUAACAUCCUCUUCCUUGCCUUCCAUUUUCGCUUUAAUUACAAGAUCGGCAGAGAUCGAACUCUCGGUGACUGAUGACCGUUGGAUCUUUGUGAUCUGAGAGUGUG
rnacentral:lncRNA from 1 species